rnacentral:rRNA from 1 species
GUUCGAUUAUGGCUCAGAUUGAGCGCUGGUGGUCGCUUUACAUGCAAGUCGGAGCAGCCAGCACGGACUUCGGUCUGGUGGCGAGUGGCGAACGGGUGAGUAAUGUAUCGGAACGUGCCUAAUAGCGAAGAUAACUACGCGAAAGCGUAACUAAUACCAUACGCCCUUCGGGGAAAGCGGGGGGACCUUCCCGGGCCUCGCACUAUUGAAGCAGCCGAUAUCGGAUUAGCUAGUUGGUGGGGUAACGGCCACCGAGGCGACGGUCGUAGCUGGUUUUUUAAAGAGAGGACGACCAGCCACGACACUGGGACUGAGACCUGGCCCAGACUCCUACGAGGCAGCAGUGGGGAAUUUUGGACAAUGGGAAACCUGAUCCAGCAUCAUCCCGCGUGUGCGAUGAAGGCCUUCAGUUGUAAAGCACUUUUGGCGGGAAAAACGGCACGGGAUAAUACCCGUGCAACUGACAGUACCUGCAGAAUAAGCACCACAUUAACUACGUGCCAGCAGCCGCGGUAAUACGUAGGGUGCAAGCGUUAAUCGGAAUUACUGGGCGUAAGGCGUGCGCAGGCGGUUCGGAAAAGAAAGAUGUGAUCCCAGAACUUAACUUUGGAACUGCAUUUUUAACUACCGAGCUAGAGUGUGUCAGAGGAGGUGGAAUUCCACGCGAUGUGAGUGAAAUGCGUAGAUAUGCGGAGGAACACCGAUGGCGAAGGCGGCCUCCUGGGAUAACACUGACGCUCAUGCUACGAAAAGCGUGGGGAGCAAACAGGAUUAGAUACCCUGGUAGUCCACGCCCUAAGCAAUCAACUAAUGUUGGGGCCUUCAGGCCUUGGUAGCGCAGCUAACGCGUGAAGUUAUUACCGCCUGGGAAAUUGCAGUCGCAAAGAUUAAAACUCAAAGAAAUUGACGGGGACCCGCACAAGCGGUGGAUGAUGUGGAUUAAUUCGAUGCAACGCGAAAAACCUUACCUACCCUUGACAUGUCUGGAAUCCCGAAGAGAUUUGGGAGUGCUCGCAAGAGAACCGGAACACAGGUGCUGCAUGGCUGUCGUCAGCUCGUGUCGUGAAUGUUGGGUUAGUCCCGCAACAGGCGCAACCCUUGUCAUUGGUGCUACGAAAGGGCACUCUAAUGAGACUGCCGGUAAACAAACCGGAGGAAGGUGGGGAUGACGUCAGGAUCCUCAUGGCCCUUAUGGGUAGGGCUUCACACGUCAUACAAUGGUCGGGACAGAGGUCGCCAACCCGCGAGGGGAGCCAAUCCCAGAAACCCGAUCAUAGUCCGGAUCGCAGUCUGCAACUCGACUGCGUGAAGUCCGGAAUCGCUAGUAAUCGCGGAUCAGCAUGUCGCGGUGAAUGCGUUCCCGGGUCUUGUACGCACCGCCCGUCACACCAUGAAAUUGGGUUUUACCAGAAGUAGUUAGCCCUAACCGUAAGGAGGGCGAUUACCACGGUAGGAUUUCAUGACCUGGGGUGAGAGUCGUAACAAAGGUAG